rnacentral:rRNA from 1 species
AGGGCCCGCACAAGCAGCGGAGCGUGUGGUUUAAUUCGAUGCUACACGAAGAACCUUACCAGGGUUUGACAUACAAGUAGUAGGAAAGGAGAGAGUGCCUCGCAAGAGGAGCCUGGUGACAGGUGCUGCAUGGCUGUCGUCAGCUCGUGUCGUGAGAUGUUGGGUUAAGUCCCGUAACGAGCGCAACCCCUAUCUUUAGUUGCCAUCAUUGAGUUGGGCACUCUAAAGAGACUGCCGGUGUCAAACCGGAGGAAGGUGGGGAUGACGUCAAGUCCUCAUGGCCUUUAUGACCAGGGCUACACACGUACUACAAUGGCCGGUACAAAGGGCAGCGACACAGCGAUGUGAAGCCAAUCCCGAAAAGCCGGUCUCAGUCCGGAUUGGAGUCUGCAACUCGACUCCAUGAAGUUGGAAUCGCUAGUAAUCGCGGAUCAGCACGCCGCGGUGAAUACGUUCCCGGGCCUU